AUUGAACGCUGGCGGCAUGCUUCACACAUGCAAGUCGAACGGUAACAGGGUGCUUGCACCGCUGACGAGUGGCGAACGGGUGAGUAAUGCGUCGGAACGUGCCGAGUAGUGGGGGAUAACGCAGCGAAAGUUGUGCUAAUACCGCAUACGUACUGAGGUAGAAAGUGGGGGACCUUCGGGCCUCACGCUAUUCGAGCGGCCGACGUCUGAUUAGCUAGUAGGUGAGGUAAAGGCUCACCGAGGCGACGAUCAGUAGCGGGUCUGAGAGGAUGAUCCGCCAACCCGGGACUGAGAAACGGCCCAGACUCCUACGGGAGUCAGCAGUGGGGAAUUUUGGAAAAUGGGCGAAAGCCUGAUCCAGCCAUGCCGCGUGUCUGAAGAAGGCCUUCGGGUUGUAAAGGACUUUUGUCAGGGAGGAAAUCCCUAGUGCUAAUAACACUGGGGGAUGACAGUACCUGAAGAAUAAGCACCGGCUAACUACGUGCCAGCCGCCGCCGUAA
rnacentral:rRNA from 1 species